AUUACACCCGCCAGACUCCUUUGCAGCUUGAGUUCCACAUAAAAAUUAGAUUCUACCCCUGAGUGGCAGUAGCAGGAGAUUUAGAAAGCAGAAUUGCAACAGAAACUCUUGCUGCUGCUAUUGGUUCUGGCAAGCAAGGUCCUGAAACAGGUUAUUGGAAGUUCCUGGUGAUGGCAGCCAUUCUCUGAUUUCUUGCAUUGAGCUUCCAGUUCUCAUGUGUGACAGGCAGUUGGGAAAGCAGCUGGUGGGGAAUGCAGCAGCUUCUUGACAACCGAAUCACAGCUAGUAUGAUGUAUCCUUGAACUAAACAGUCCAGUGGUCAUCCCCUGACUGCUGCUGCCCCAGCUCAUCCAAUCAUUUGGUGGGCCUCAUGCAGUAAGUUGAAGGUUGUAAGAGCAAAGAUAGAAGGCCUUCCCAAAGAAUGAGGACUUCUGCCUGAGGAUAGCAAAUACCAAUUCUGCAUGGGUUUCCUGGCUUCAGACUCAAGAAUGCAAUAUCAACUCUUACUGGAAUUUCUAUCCUACCAGCUUGCCCUGCAAAUUUCAGACUUGCCAGCCCUUGCAAUUGUCUUCUUUGAUUCCUGGGCCAGGUGCAUAUUUUGCUCCGUGAUGAAGGACAUCAACAAGUUUCUGUUGCAGAAUACCCCCAACAUUCAAACUGGAGUUUGGAGGUGAACCAAGGUUCCACGCUGACUUCAUGAAAUAAAUUAAUCAAUGGACUUUCCCUAUAUUCUGCAAGACCCUGGAUAGGCA
rnacentral:lncRNA from 1 species